CAGGUGGAAGAUGGGGCUAGCCUCCUGCUAAGUGAAUCUUUGUUUCAAAUAGUAACAAGAUUUUUGAUCUAUGUAUCUCUUGGGUAUCUUUGCAUUCUGGCUGACAAUUCUAACAAGCUUUCAUAUAUGAUAGCAAUAGGUCAUUUUAGCUCUUUGCUUUUUUAGUCCACAGUGUGCAAUAUUUCAGAAGAGUAGAGAGAGCUUCUCCCUUCCAACAUUCAUUUCAAUACUUGGUAGUGGAGGAAAACAUGACUGAUCUUGUGAAACUGAAUUUCCCAUCACUGUACUAUCACUGUAUCUGAGGUUGCUCAGGGUGCUCCUUAUCUGUGUUCACAAGAAGUGAAUUUGCAUGCCAACAAUUUUGGAAACUGUAAAACUAGUUCCUAUAAUUUCGAGUACACAUUUUUAAACGUAUACAUUUUUCUAACGUUGGUAUGUGCGUGUGUAUUUCAGAGGGUCACUUAAUACAAAUGAGAGAUGUAGCAUAUACAGACGUGUCCUUUGUGCAAAGCUAGUUUGUCACUGGAAAAGUACAGAACUAAUACGACAUAAAGAUGAUGAUGCUUAAUAUACUUACCUUGGAAACCAUGUAUGUGUGUCUACAUUUUUACGAAAUUCAUGUGGUAGCAUAAAGGAUAACUCCUAUGUAAAAAAUGGUACUUUUUGUGGUCUAGAAAAGG
rnacentral:lncRNA from 1 species